CAUGAAGCUGGAAUUGCUAGUAAUGGCAGGUCAGCAUACUGCCGUGAAUACGUUCCCGGGCCUUGUACACACCGCCCGUCACACCAUGAGAGUUGGAAAUACCCGAAGCCUGUGAGCUAACAGUAAUGAGGCAGCAGUCGAAGGUAGAAUCAAUGAUUGGGGUGAAGUCGUAACAAGGUAAC
rnacentral:rRNA from 1 species